GUUCCUACAAUCUUGCGAGUUCUUGGUGUUUUCCUUUCAUCUUUGGGGCCUACAGUCCAGAAUUUUUUUCCUGUUCGCGCUCUCCCUUCGCCGACUUUUCUUCCUGUUCGCGCUCUCCCUUCGCCCGUUUUCCUUUCAUCUUUGGGGCCUACAGUCGAGAAUUUUCUUCUUGUUCGCGCUCUCCCUUCGCCCAUUUUCCUUUCAUCUUUGGGGCCUACAGUCCAGAAUUUUCUUCCUGUUCGCACUCUCCCUUCGCUGACUUUCUUCCGGUUCGCGCUCUCCAUUCGGCCGUUUUCCUUUCAUCUUUGGGGCCUACAGUUCAGAAUUUUCUUCCUGUUCGCGCUCUCCCUUCGCCCGUUUUCCUUUCAUCUUUGGGGCCUACACACUCCAGAAUUUUUUUCCUGUUCGCGCUCUCCCUUCGCCCGUUUUGCUUUCAUCUUUAGGGCCUACAGUCGCUUCGCCCACGACUUUGACUAGAUAAUCUGGAAAGUUUCAUGUUAAUCGGAGUUCGAAUCGAAGGUCAAUUUGGUUCGUCAGAGUUCGUUGGCGGACGGCUUGGGUGGUCUAUUUUCAGCCAAAUUAAAGGGCUUUCGGUGGUGUUUUUCGACAAAGAAGGGUACUAUUGGGAUCGACUAAGGGAAAGGAGCAACCCGGUGUCAUCAGUUCGAUUUUCUGGUGUGCCGGCGCCAGAGAAGAUGACUGAAGGGUAUUGUUGAGGCUUGAGGUUGAGUUAUAGUACGCCUGGCACUAAAAUCGAGGUAGUGCACGAGGAUCGAGACAAUCUGAAUACAUUCGAGGAAAAUGAAUCGGGCCUAUGUGAAAGGGCCGACGAACGGAAUUCACCCACUAGCCAAUGCAGCAAGAAAAAGCCUGAAGAUGGUUUCAAUGAUUUAUGAUGAAUACACAACUCAUGAUUGAAUUUAGAUAACUUCAAUUUGUUUUUUUUUUUUCUUCUAGCUUCUGCAUUGUCCAAUUAAGCAUUGUUUGACAGACUCGAUUAUAAAAUGUUCAUCUAAAUCACACUUCAUCUGUUCAU